rnacentral:rRNA from 1 species
UACGUAGGUGACAAGCGUUGUCCGGAUUUACUGGGCGUAAAGAGCGCGCAGGCGGUCGAUCAAGUCGAGUGUGAAAGCCCCCGGCUCAACUGGGGAGGGUCAUUCGAUACUGAUCGACUCGAAGGCAGGAGAGGGUAGUGGAAUUCCCGGUGUAGUGGUGAAAUGCGUAGAUAUCGUCUGGAACGCCAAAGGUGAAAACAGACUGCUGGGAGUGUGCUGACGCUGAGACACGAAAGCCAGGGGAGCAAACGGG